rnacentral:rRNA from 1 species
UACGUAGGGUGCGAGCGUUAAUCGGAAUUACUGGGCGUAAAGUGUGCGCAGGCGGCCGCGCAAGUCGAGUGUGAAAGCCCCGGGCUUAACUUGGGAAUUGCGCUCGAAACUACGUGGCUGGAGUGUGGCAGAGGAAGGUGGAAUUCCACGUGUAGCGGUGAAAUGCGUAGAGAUGUGGAGGAACACCAAUGGCGAAGGCAGCCUUCUGGGCCAACACUGACGCUGAGGUGCGAAAGCAUGGGGAGCAAACAGG